CUCUGUAGAUCGCCCAGCUAGAUGAGGUAUAGACCCUCUGUCUCUCUGUAGAUCGCCCAGCUAGAUGAGGUAUAGACCCUCUCUGUCUCUCUGUAGAUCGCCCAGCUAGAUGAGGUAUAGACCCUCUCUGUCUCUCUGUAGAUCGCCCAGCUAGAUGAGGUAUAGACCCUCUCUGUCUCUCUGUAGAUCGCCCAGCUAGAUGAGGUAUAGACCCUCUGUCUCUCUGUAGAUAGCCCAGCUAGAUGAGGUAUAGACCCUCUCUGUCUCUCUGUAGAUCGCCCAGCUAGAUGAGGU